UCGGUGAAUUUUUUUAACAGCUGCGGCAUUUUAACUGUACUAAGGUAGCAUAAUAAUUUGCCUUAUAAUUUGAGGCUAGAAUGAAUGGUUUGACGAAGGUAAUCUGUCUCUACUUCAUUUUUUAGAAUUUAAUUUUCAUAGUGAAAAAGCUUGAAUGUUUUAAAGGGACGAGAAGACCCUAAUGAGCUUUAAUUUUAUAGUGAUCUCAUUGAGGCAUUGGUAAGGUCAUUUAUAAAUUUUAAUUGGGGUGAUUAAGGAAUAAAUUUGUAUAUCAUAUAACUUCCUUAGAAAUAAUUAUUUUUUGAUGAAGUAACCAAUUUUUUUAUUGCUUAUAGUAUAGUUACCAUAGGGAUAACAGCGUAAUUUGUUUAGAGAGUUCUUAUUGAAAAACGAGAUUGCGACCUCGAUGUUGGAUUAAAGUAACCUUAAGGUGCAGAAGCUUUAGUAAGGUAAAUCUGUUCGAUUUUUAAAACUUUACGUGAUCUGAGUUCAGACCGGACCCGCCUGUUUUAUCAUAAACAUA
rnacentral:rRNA from 1 species